GCUGGCGGCGUGCCUAACACAUGCAAGUCGAACGGAUCGCCCGGACAGAGUAUUUCGGUACAAAGACCGGGUGGCUGAGUGGCGGACGGGUGAGUAACGCGUGGACAACCUGCCGUGUACAGGGGGAUAACAGCCGGAAACGGCUGCUAAUACCGCAUAUGCGCACAGUGCCGCAUGGCACAGGGCGGAAAGCCUAGAUCUUAUCUAGUACGGUACACGAUGGGUCCGCGUCUGAUUAGGUAGUUGGCGGGGUAACGGCCCACCAAGCCCACGAUCAGUAGCCGGCCUGAGAGGGCGGACGGCCACACUGGGACUGAGACACGGCCCAGACUCCUGCGGGAGGCAGCAGUGGGGAAUAUUGCACAAUGGGGGGAACCCUGAUGCAGCGACGCCGCGUGAAGGAAGAAGUAUCUCGGUAUGUAAACUUCUAUCAGCAGGGAAGAAAGAGGACGGUACCUGACUAAGAAGCCCCGGCUAACUACGUGCCAGCAGCCGCGGUAAUACGUAGGGGGCGAGCGUUAUCCGGAUUUACUGGGUGUAAAGGGAGCGUAGACGGCCAUGCAAGCUCGGUGUGAAAGGUGCGGGCACAACCCGCAGACUGCACUGAGAACUGUAUGGCUGGAGUGCCGGAGGGGCAGGCGGAAUUCCUGGUGUAGCGGUGAAAUGCGUAGAUACCAGGAGGAACACCGGUGGCGAAGGCGGCCUGCUGGACGGCGACUGACGUUGAGGCUCGAAAGCGUGGGGAGCGAACAGGAUUAGAUACCCUGGUAGUCCACGCCGUAAAC
rnacentral:rRNA from 1 species